CUCCCCCGGGUCAGUCACCAGGGCAGCCAGGAGGCCUCUCACCUUCUAAAGCCUGCUGUCCAGCACCACACCGGAGGCUGUUAUCAUAUGUGGAAGCCCUACCCCGCAACGUGAUGCUACUAGGAGUGAAGCGACUUGGGUGUUCUGUGGUGUGGACUGCAGUGAGGAGUGAAUUCACGCUCGCCUGUGUGACGGUGGACAUGGACCCAAAGCCGUCCACUGUGGGUGCAACUCUAGAACAGUCCUCGGGACUCUAGGCAUAAUGACUAAUCAGAUGGAGGCCGAAACUACCCACACGCUGCCCCCCGCUCACCGACUGCCCUGACGUGAGUUUGUUCUUCCGUUGUCCGCACUGCGCUCUCUUUACUGUCCCCGGAGACUCCUGCCCAGGCAAUAACCUGAUGAUUCCUUAGAGGAAUUUCCCGCAAAGCCCCAUCCACUCUUGA